AUUUAAUUGGUUCAGAUUUUAUGUUUUGUUUGUUUAAUUAAAAAGUGGGGGAGGAGAGGGGAAGGAUUGUAGAAAAGCUGUCGAAGUGAUUAGAUUGAGACAACGCCGCCAAAUUCAAUCGCCAGAAGCGCAACAUUGGAAAAUCCAUUUACAAGUCUUUUCUGUUUCAUUUUCUUUCUAGCAUUAUUAACGAGAAAUCUGCACUGUCAUGGUCCCCGAGUAUUGUAUUGGAGUGGCUUUGAAUUUCUAAAGCGCAGUAGAUUUUCCUCAGGAAAUUUUCUGAACUAUGUUUGGAAUAUGGAACAAUUGGAGAUAUUGAUCUCGGUGAGAUUGAAUUUCCCAAGCAAUAUGUGACUCGUGCACUUGGAUAUUAAAUCACACUCGUUCUUUUCCCUUUCUUUGUUUUGAACAUGAAGUUGUUGAAUUUAGAGAUCUUUGGAUUGUUAAUUUGUUAACUGAAUUCAAAGUUCAUUUUUAAUAAAAUGGGUUGCAUUUGCAUACAAUA